rnacentral:misc_RNA from 1 species
GCGGGCUGGACCUCUCGGGGUUACAGCCUUGCUGAAUUAUUCACCCUUGUCUUUUGCGUACUUCUUGUUUCCUUGGUGGGUUCGCCCACCACUAGGACAAACAUAAACCUUUUGUAAUUGCAAUCAGCGUCAGUAACAAAUUAAUAAUUACAACUUUCAACAACGGAUCUCUUGGUUCUGGCAUCGAUGAAGAACGCAGCA